UGGUCCCCUCUCAUCUUGAAAACCAGCCCUGGUGCUGCAGCUCUUUCAGAGGCAUCCAACUCUGAACUCACAGGUCCACCCAUUCUGUGGUGAUCACUGAACACUCAACAUCCAGCAUAGAGAUGAGACUGUGCUGGAUUUUCCUUGUUGCUCUUUUAAAAGGUGUCCAGUGUGAGGUGAAGCUGGUGGAGUCUGGGGGAGGCUUGGUGCAGCCUGGAAAGACCCUGAAACUCUCCUGUGCAGCUUCUGGAUUCACCUUCAGUGACUACUGGAUGAACUGGGUUCGCCAGGCUCCAGGAAAGGGACUGGAGUGGGUUGCACAAAUUAGAAACAAAGGUAACAAUUAUGCAACGUACUAUGCAGCAUCUGUGAGUGGCAGAUUCACCAUCUCAAGAGACGACUCCAAAAGCAGUGUUUACCUGCAAAUGAACAGCUUAAGAGCCGAUGACACCGCCAUUUAUUACUGUACUAGAGACACAGUGAGACGACUUCAAUGUGAACCUUGA